GAUGAACGCUGGCGGCGUGCUUAACACAUGCAAGUCGAACGGGAAAUACUUCAUUGAGACUUCGGUGGAUUUGAUUUGUUUCCAGUGGCGGACGGGUGAGUAACGCGUGGGUAACCUGCCUUAUACAGGGGGAUAACAGUCAGAAAUGACUGCUAAUACCGCAUAAGCGCACAGGACCGCAUGGUCCGGUGUGAAAAACUCCGGUGGUAUAAGAUGGACCCGCGUUGGAUUAGCUUGUUGGUGGGGUAACGGCCCACCAAGGCGACGAUCCAUAGCCGGCCUGAGAGGGUGAACGGCCACAUUGGGACUGAGACACGGGCCAGACUCCUACGGGAGGCAGCAGUGGGGAAUAUUGCACAAUGGGGGAAACCCUGAUGCAGCGACGCCGCGUGAAGGAAGAAGUAUCUCGGUAUGUAAACUUCUAUCAGCAGGGAAGAUAGUGACGGUACCUGACUAAGAAGCCCCGGCUAACUACGUGCCAGCCGCCGCGGUAA
rnacentral:rRNA from 1 species